CAAUGUCCUACAAUAUGGAAUGAUUUAAAAUACUAAAGCAAGGUAGAAUUGAACCAAAUGGAAGGAAGGAAAACAAAAAACAGAUAAAUAAUUCAGAUACCUCCUUCAAUAUAGUAUAAUUACAUUCUUCCUUUCCACAGUGUAGCUUGAAAUAAUACCAGAUGCACCGGUAUAGACGUGCACAAAGAUUCUGUUCACUACCCGUUCCUUUAAAAAAAAUAUUUAUU